GGUUCCAAGACCUUGUUCACAAGGAGACCUACUUGGAGUUGCCACUGCAUUCCUAUGACAUCAAUGGAUUUUUUCUGAUGCCAUGACGCAUUUUCAUGCUCGAUCAAUCACCAAGUGUUUGCUGUUUUAAUUCUUGUAUUAUCACAUUGCAUUUGAUGAAGUAAAUUCUUUGAAAAUGGUGCUUUGAUUUUUACAAGAUUGCCAAGUUUAAUAGCGAAUUGUUUGAGGCCAAGUUUAAUAGCGAAUUGUUUGAACAUUGAAGUAUGAAUGACUUGUGAUCAUGUCUUUUUUUUUGGAAAAUUCAGUGUUCUAUGAACAUGGUUUUUUGAUUUUUACAAAAUUUCCAAGUUUAAUUGCAUAUUGUUUGAAGUAUGGAUGACUUGUGGUUCUGUCGUAUUAUUAUGAAAAAUUUAGUGAGGCUGGUGACGACAAUAUGCAUGUUGGAGGGCAAGGGUUCCAAGUCCUUGAAUACAAGGAGAACCUACUUGGAGUUGCUCUUGCAUUACUGUGACAUUACCGCUGGAUAGUUACUGAGGUCUUGAUGUCUCAUGCCAACAUCUGUUUGCUAAAUUUUUGUCAUAUAAUUGACAUUGGAAACUAUAUUCCAUGUAUUGUUUUGCCAUACUGACGAGCAUUUUGAAAUUGUAAAAACAUAUCAUUGCUUAUGUCAAUUUGUUAGGCGUUUUGUUUGAAUUUUUCUUGUGGCCUAGUUAUUAAAUUGCUUUUUGGGGAUUUUUGUGUCCUUUUCUGUUGUGGUUUUAAAUUUCCUUAUUUUGUUUUUUUUAUUUUUAUUUUUAUUUUUAUUUUUAUAAUUUCUAGUUUUACAUUUCCAUGUUGAUUUUUAUGUAAAUUGAUGGCGAUGAUUCGAAUUUAUCCACGCUUCUGAGUUUAUGAACCAUGAUGAAAAAAAGUCAAUGGUUGAAUAUCUUAAUAUGAGCCACUAAUUAAGUUUUCUCUUUUGUUACUUAAUUCUUUGGAUUCUUAUUAUCGUUUUGUCAAUGGUCUUCAAAGUGUCGUAAAAUUGAAUAGUUUUUUAUGCACUUUUUUAAUUUAAUGUUUCCUCAGCGUUUUAAUUAUCCAUUUUGUUCCAAAAGAUAGUGAUUUUAUAUUUUUCAGUUGUGAUCUUAAUGUCGUUGAUAGCUCCAUGUCUGUUAUUUCGAUUUUCCUUUAUAUUAGGUUCUUGUACUACUGAGACAGAGUCGACUGUGAGGACCAUCAUUAACCUCUAUGCCAGUUCUUCUUCAGAAUAUUCUUGAUUGAUAAGCUGAUUAAUAUCUGAGCCUUUUAUUAUCUUGUUCUCUAUAUAUGUGCACUGUAUGUGUUUCGUUAUUCUGUUUUGCUUGUAGCUGUAUAGUAGGAUGAACUUCUGCCAUGGAGAUCCUUGGAGGUUGAUAAAGAUUAGUGAGGUUUUUAUUGGUCAUGUGGUCAAACUUCUUUAUAAUUAAUAAGAUGAGGGCUUUUGCAAAAAAAUUGUGAUUUAUUCUUGUGAUUGUAAGAUAAACAUAUUUCCACCUGUAAAUGGUAAUAGCAAUCUAUCUUUGGGUAUUGGGUGUGCCAGUUGAUUCUAGGGACAUAACUGAAUCUUCCAUGUCUGAAGGUUAGAAUAUGAACCAAGCAGGGUUAGGGUUUUUCCCAUCUAUAAAUGUGGAAACGGGCUGAAGCUUGUCGCUAUCUUUUUUCUCUCCUUUUAUGCUAGGGUUUCUUAUCUAUUGCAGUAGUUUCGAGGUUUCUCAUAUAUCGCUGCAGUUUUUAUUCGUCUCUGCCUUCAUGUUUUCUAUCGUUCCUGAAGACCCCAGCCUUCAUACUCAGAUUUCAGCCAUUAUGAUUUUCGUACUUUCGAUUUUCAGAGUUUCCUAUGUAUAACGAGCAGGUAAUAAGAUUUUUUUAUGCAAUAUGUUCAGACUUACCUCUCACAGGGGGUCUCGUUAGUACCAAAAAUCCUAGGAUUUUACAUCCCAUGGAUGCCAAAGGCCUUAAUGUUCCUCAAAAUCUAAAGGAUUUUUCUAUGCUACUUCCGUCAUCGCACGAUGCAAACCCCGGGCUUGUCUUAUAUGUUUUCAUGAAGAUGAAAGCCCCAAUGCCCGUGCAAUAUGAAUCAGCUGUUGAGUGUUGUAGGUUGGCCAAUCUAUCGGUCUAUACCUGUGUCAAAGCAACAACGACAUCUUUGUUUCGCUUUUAAAAUUUUGAAGCCUUGUCACCAUUGUAUUUCGUCACCUCAGUGGGUAGUUAAUCAUGUGAAAUGUAAAUAAUAUUGAUGCCUCACCUUAAGCUUGUGGAGAUUUUUGGUGCCACAAAUGUGCAGUCAUGGAGGCAGAAACCAACCAUGGCGAGUUUAACGUGGGCACAUUCCGAUUUCUAAUGGUUUAGUGUCUAAAAAACUUCGCCACACUUGUUUUGAUUUUCUGUCAUUUUCUGGAAUUUUUUGUCAUUUUCUUAUGUUCUUCUAGAUUAUACCAUUCUCCAAUAUUUAGUUGUUUUUUGAUUUCGGGGUUUGAUUUCGAUGUUUACUGGAUUUCCUUUCCAAGAUAUGAUGUUUUUGUGAAAGUUCCUUAUAUUUGAUCCGAUCAUUCAUUCCUCUGGAUAUUCGUGUAAUAUGAGUUUUCUCUUAUACUUCAAGACAUCUAGCGUUUCAAUUACAUGAUGUUGAUGUUUUCUGUAUUAUUUUGAUGUUGGAAGUCAUAUUUGUUUGUAUGUUUCUUUUUUUUUGGAAUUUGGACCACUUGAUUUGGUUUUUGAUCAGUGAAUUGGAUGUUCUUCGUUUGGUUUCCAAUUAAUCAAUUGGGUUUGUUAUUUGCUGAUGAUGAUUUUGUCCAUGUUAGAGAUACUGGGGUUCCAAGUCCUUGUUUUACAAGGAGAACCUACUUGGAGUAGCCCUUGUAUUGCUAUGACCUUAUUGGAUAUUUAGUGAUGACUUUAAUUCUAAAUUUAUCCUCCAUUUUUUCUUCUAAAAGUUGGAUGUGCUAAAAGAGGCGAUGAUGUUUUGAUUUUGUUCCAUCUUGGAGAUGCAGGGGUUCCAUGUCCUUGUUCACAAGGAGAACCUACUUGGAGGUUCCUCUGCAUUCCUAUGACAUCAAUGGAUUUUAUCUGAUGCCAUAAUGCCUUUUCAUGCUUAUUCAACCACCUUGUGUAUGCUGUUUGUAUUAUCACAUUGCAUUACAUGAAUUAAUUUCUUUAAACAUGGUGCUUUGAUUUUUACAAGAUUGCCAAGUUUAAUAGCGAAUAAUUUGAACUUUGAAGUAUGAAUGACUUGUGAUUCAGUUUUUUUUUUUUUUUUUAAAUUCCAUGUUCUACGAACAUGGUGCUUUGAUUUUUAAAAGAUUUCCAAGUUUAUUGGAAAUUUUUGAAGUUUGAAGUAUGAGUGACUUGUGGUUCUGUCGUAUUAUUAUGCAAAAUUCAGCGAGGCCGGUGACGACAAUAUGCGUGUUGGAGGGCAAGGGUUCCAAGUCCUUGAAUACAAGGAGAACCUACUUGGAGUUGCUCUUGCCUUACUGUGACAUUACUGCUAGAUAGUAACUGAGGCCUUGAUGUCUCAUGCCAACAUCUGUUUGCUAAAUUUUUGUCAUAUAAUUGACAUUGGAAACUGUAUUCCUUGUAUUGUUUUGCCCUACUGACUCGCAUUUUGAAAUUGUAAAAACAAGCCAUUGCUGAUUUCAAUUUGUGAGGUGUUUUGCUUGGAUUUUGUUGUGGCCUAGUUAUUAAAUUGAUUUUUUGGGAUUUUUGUGUUCUGGUUUUCUUUUGUGGUUUUAAACUUCCGUAUUUAUUUGUUUAUUUUUAAUUUAUAGUGUUAGAAUUCCGUGUUGAUUUUUUUGUAAAUUGAUGGCGAUGAUUUGAAUUUAUCCGUGCUUCUAUGAUUAUGAACCAUGAAGCAAAAAGUCAAUGGUUGAAUUGCUUAAUAUAAGCCACUAAUUAAGUUUCUCUUUUGUUACUUAAUUCUUUGGAUUCUUAUUAUCAUUUUUUCAAUGGUCUUCAAAGUGUCAUAAAAUUGAAUUGGUUUUCAUGCACAUUUUUUAAUUGUCUUUUAUGUUCCACAAGAUGAUGAUUUUAUAUUUUUCAGUUAUGUUCUUAAUGUGGUUGAAAACAGCAUGUUUGUUGUUUCGUUUUUCCUUUACAUUAGUUUCAUGGACUACUGAGACAGAGUCGGCUUUGAGGACCAUCAUUAAGCUCAAUGCCAGUUCUGCUUCAGAAUAUUCUUCAUUGAUAAGAUGAUUAAUUUCUGAGCCUUUUAUUCUCUCUUCCUCUAUAUAUGUGCGCUGCAUGUGUUUCGUUAUUCUGUUUUGCUUGUAGCUAUAUAGUAGGAUGAACUUAUGCCUUGGAGAUUCUUGGAGGUUGAUAAAUAUUAGUGUGGUUUUUGUUGGUCAUGUGGGGAAACUUCUUCAUAAUUAAUAAGAUGAGGGCUUUUGCAAAAAAAUUAUGAUUUAUUCUUGUGAUUGUAAGAUAAAUAUCUUUCCAUCUGUAAAUGGUUAAUAGCAAUCUAUCUUUGGGUAUUGGGUGUGCCAUUUUAUUCUAGGGACAUAACUAAAUCUUCCAUGUCUGCAGCUUAGAAUUUGAACCAAGCAGGGUUAGGGUUUUUCCCAUCUAUAAAAAUGGAAACGGGCCGAAGCUUGUCGCUAUCUUUUUUCGCUCCUUUUAUGCUAAGGUUUCUCAUCUGUUGUUGUAGUUUCUCGAUUUCUCUUAUGUCGCUGCAGAUUUUGUUCGUCUUUGCCUUCAUGUUUUCUAUCGUUCCUGAAAACCCUUGCUUUCAUACUUAGAUUUCAGCCAUUAUCAUUUCUCGUACUUUCGAUUUUCAGAGUCCUAUGUAAAACUAGCAGGUAAUAAGAUUUUUUAAUGCAAUAUGUUCAAUCUUACCUCUCACAGGGGGCCUCGUUAUUACCAAAAACCCUAGGAUUUUACAUCCCAUGGAUUUCAAAGGCCUUAAUGUUCCUCAGAAUCUAAGGUUUUAUAACCCUAGAUUUUUCUCUGCUACUUCUGUCAUCGCACGAUGCAAACCCCGGGCUUCUCUUAUAUGUUUUCAUGAAGAUGAAAGCCCCAAUGCCUGUGUAAUAUGAAUCAGUUGUUAAGUGUUGCAGGUUGGCCGAUCUCUCGGUCUAUACCUGUGUCAAAGCAACAACGACAUCUUUGUUUCGCUUUUAAACUUUUGAAGCCUUGUCACCAUUGUAUUUCGUCACCUCAGUGGGUAGUUAAUCAUGUAAAAUGUAAAUAAUAUUGCUGCCUCACCUUAAGCUUGUGGAGAUUGUUGGUGCCACAAAUGCGUAGUCAUGGAGGCAGAAACCAACCAUGGCGAGUUUAACGUGGGCACAUUCCAAUUUCUAAUGGUUUAGUACCUAAAUUCUUCGCCACACUAGUUUGGAUUUUCUGUCAUUUUCUUAUGUUGUUCGUGAUUAUACAAUUCUCCAAUAUUUAGUUUAUUUUUUUUCGGGGAUUGAUUUCGAUGUUUACUGGAUUUCCAUUCGAAGAUAUGAUGUUUUUGUGAAAGUUCCUUAUAUUUGAUCCGAUCAUUCUUUCCUCUGGAUAUUCAUGUAAUAUGAGUUUUCUCUUAUACUUCAAGAGAUCUAGCAUUUCAAUUACAUGAUGAUGAUGUUUUCUGUAUUAUUUUGAUGUUGGUUGUCAUAUUUGUUUGUAUGUUUCUAUUUAUAUGGAAUUAGGACCGCUUGAUUUGGUUUUCGAUCAAUGAAUUGGAUGUUCUUCGUUUGGUUUCCAAUUAAUCAAUUGGGUAUGUUAUUUGCUGAUGAUGAUUUUGUCCAUGUUGGAGAUACUGGGGUUGCAAGUUCUUGUUUUACCUGGAGAACCUAUUUGGAGUAGCCCUUGUAUUGCUAUGACUUUAUUGGGUAUUAAUUGAUGACUUUAAUGCUAAAUUUUUCUUCCAUUUUUUUUUUUAGAAGUUGGAUGUGCUAAUAGAGGCGAUGAUGUGUUUAUUUUGUUCCAUCUUGGAGAUGUCGGGGUUCCAUGUCCUUGUUUACAAGGAGAACCUACUUGGAGUUGCCCUGCAUUCCUAUGACAUCAAUGUAUUUUAUCUGAUGCCAUAACACAUUUUCAUGCUCAAUUAACCACCAAAUGUAUGCUGUUUUAAUUCAUGUAUUAUCACAUUGCAUUAGAUGAAGUAUAUUCUUUGAAUGUGGUGCUUUGAUUUUUAAACGAUUGCCAAGUUUAAAAGCGAAUCUUUUGAACUUUGAAGUAUGAAUGACUUGUGAUUCAGUCAUUUUUUUUUGGAAAUUCCAUGUUCUACGAACAUGGUGCUUUGAUUUUUUCAAGAUUUCCAAGUUUACUUGCAAAUUGUUUGAAGUUUGAAAUAUGAGUAACUUGUGAUUCUGUUGUAUUAUUAUGAAAAAUUCAACGAGGCCGGUGAUGACAAUAUGCGUGUUGGAGGGCAAGGGUUGCAAGUCCUUGAAUACAAGGAGAACCUACUUGGAGUUUCUCUUGCAUUACUGUGACAUUACCGCUGGAUAGUAACUGAGGCCUUGAUGUCUCAUGCCAACAUCUCUUUGCUAAAUUUUUGUCAUAUAAUUGACAUUUUAAAGUGUAUUCCUUGUAUUGUUUUGCCCUACUGGCUAGCAUUUUGAAAUUGUAAAAACAUGUCGAUGCUUAUGUCAAUUUGUGAAGUGUUUUUUUUGGAUUUUUCUUGUGGCCUAGUUAUUAAAUUCUUUUUGGGGGAUUUUUCUGUUCUGGUUUUCUUUUUUUGUUUUAGACUUCCUUAUUUAUUUUUGUUUUUUUUAAUUUAUGGUUUUUCCUUUUCAUGUUGAUUUUUUUUUAAAAUUGAUGGCAAUGAUUUGAAUUUAUCCGCGCUUCUGAGUUUAUGAACCAUGAAGCAAAAAAGUCAUUGGUUGAAUUUCUUAAUAUGAGCCACUAAUUAAGUUUUCUCUUUUGUUACGUAAUUCUUUGGAUUCUUCUUAUCAUUUUUUCAUUGGUCUUUAAAGUGUCAUAAAAUUGAAUAGUUUUUUAUGCGCAUUUCUUAAUUAUCUUUCAUGUUUUGAUGAUUUUAUAUUUUCCAGUUAUUUUCUUAAUGUGGUUGAAAACACUAUCUAUGUUGUUUGGUUUUUCCUUUAUAUUAGUUUCUUGGACUACUGAGACAGAGUCGGCUGUGAGGACCAUCAUUCAGCAUAAUGCCAGUUCUGCUCCAGAAAAUUCUUGAUUGAUAAGCUGAUUAAUACCUGAGCCUUUUAUUCUCUCGUCCUGUAUGUAUGUGCACUGUUUGUGUUUCGUUAUUCUGUUUUGCUUGUAGUUGUAUAGUAGGAUGAACUUAUGCCAUGGAGAUCCUUGGAGGUUGAUAAAUCUUAGUGUGGUUUUUAUCGGUCAUGUUGGGAAACUUCUUUAUAAUUAAUAACAUGUGGGAUUUUUCAAAAAAAUUAUGAUUUAUUCUUGUGAUUGUAAGAUAAACAUCUUUCCUCCUGUAAAUGGUUAAUAGCAAUCUAUCUUUAGGUAUUGGGUGUGCCAUUCGAUUCUAGGGACAUCACUUAAUCUUCGUUGUUUGCAGAUUAGAAUAUAAACCAAGCAGGCAUAGGGUUUUCCCAUCUAUAAAAGUGGAAACGGGCCGAAGCUUGUCGCUAUCUUUUUUCUCUCAUUUUGUUAUUUGAUGUCAUAUUUAUUUGUAUUUUCUAUUUCUAUAGAAUUAGGACCACUUGAUUUGGUUUGCGAUCACUUUAUUCGACGUUCUUUGUUUGGUUUUCAAUUAAUCAAUUGGGUAUGUUAUUUGUUGAUGAUGAUUUUUUCCAUGUUUGAGAUAUUGGGUUUCCAAGUCCUAAUUUUUCAAGGGGAGCCUACUUGGCGAAGCCCUUGUAUUGCUAUGGCUUUAUUGGAUGUUAAAUGAUGGCUUUAAUGCUAAAUUUAUCGUCCAUUUUUUUUUUCUUAAAGUUGGAUGUGCUAAAAGAGGCGAUGAUGUUUUGAUUUUGUUCCAUCUUGGAGAUGCAGGGGUUCCAAGACCUUGUUCACAAGGAGACCUACUUCGAGUUGCCCCUGCAUUCCUAUUACAUCAAUGGAUUUUAUCUGAUGCCAUGGCGCAUUUUCAAGCUCGAUCAAUCCCCAAGUGUUUGCUGUUUUAAUUCUUGCAUUAUCACAUUGCAUUCGGUGAAGUAAAUUCUUUGAAAAUGGUGCUUUGAUUUUUAAAAAAUUUCCAAGUUUAUUAGCGAAUUAUUUGGACUUUGAGGUAUGAAUGACUUGUGAUUCAGUCUUUUUUUUUUGGAAAAUUCAGUGUUCUAUGAACAUGGUGCAUUGAUUUUUACGAGAUUUCCAAGUUUAAUAGCAAAUUUUUUGAAGUUUGAAGUAUGAGUGACUUGUGGUUGUUUCGUAUUAUUAUGAAAAAUUCAGUGAGGCCGGUGACGACAAUAUGCGUGUUGGAGGGCAAGGGUUUCAAGUCCUUGAAUACAAGGAGAACCUAGUCGGAGUUGCCUUUGCAUUACUGUGACAUUACCGCUGGAUCGUAACUGAGGUCUUGAUGUCUCUUGCCAACAUCUGUUUGCUAAAUUUGUCAUAUAAUUGACAUUGGAAACUAUAUUCCAUAUAUUGUUUUGCCAUACUGACUAGCAUUUUGAAAUUGUAAAAACAUAUCAUUGCUUAUGUCAAUUUGUUAGGCGUUUUGUUUGAAUUUUUCUUGUGGCCUUGUUAUUAAAUUGCUUUAUGCGGAUUUUUGUUUCUUCCUUUUCUUUUGUGGUUUUAAAUUUCCUUAUUUUUGUUUUUUUUAUUUUUUAUUUAUUUAUUUUUUAUUUUUAAUUUCUUGUUUUACAUUUCCAUGUUGAUUUUUAUGUAAAUUGAUGGCGAUGAGUUGAAUUUAUCCGCGCUUCUGAGUUUAUGAACCAUGAAGAACACAAGUCAAUGGUUGAAUAUGUUACUAUGAGCCACUAAUUAGGUUUUCUCUUUUGUUACUUAAUUCUUUGGAUUCUUAUUAUCGUUUUGUCAAUGGUCUUCCAAGUGUCAUAAAAUUGAAUAGUUUUUUAUGCACUUUUUUAAUUUAAUGUUUCCUCAGCAUUUUAAUUAUCUUUCAUGUUCCAAAAGUUGAUAUUUUUAUAUUUUCCAGUUAUGUUCUUAAUGGGGUUGAAAGCACCAUGUUUGUUGUUUGGUUUUUCCUUUAUAUUAGUUUCUUGGACUACUGAGACAGAGUCGGCUGUGAGGACCAUCAUUCAGCUUAAUGCCAGUUCUGCUUCAGAAAAUUCUUGAUUGAUAAGCUGAUUAAUACCUGAGCCUUUUAUUCUCUUGUCCUCUAUAUAUGUGCACUGUUUGUGUUUCGUUAUUCUCUUUUGCUUGUAGCUGUAUCGUAGGAUGGACUUAUGCCAUGGAGAUCCUUAAGAGGUUGAUAAAGAUUAGUGUGGUUUUUAUUGGUCAUGUGGGGAAACUUCUUUAUAAUUAAUAACAUGAGGGCUUUUGCAAAAAAAUUAUGAUUUAUUCUUGUGAUUGUAAGAUAAACAUCUUUCCACCUGUAAAUGGUUAAUAGCAAUCUAUCUUUGGGUAUUGGGUGUGCCAUUUGAUUCUAGGGACAUAACUGAAUCUUCCAUGUCUGCAGUUUAAAUAUGAACCGAGCAGGGUUGGGGUUUUUCCCAUCUAUAAAAGUGGAAACAGGCUGAAGCUUGUCGCUGUCUUUUUUCUCUCCUUUUAUGCUAGGUUUUCUCUUCUAUUGCUGCAGUUUCUAGGUUUUUCAUAUGUUGCUGCAGGUUUUGUUCAUCUCUGCCUUCAUGUUUCUAUCGUUCUUGCAAACCCUAGCCUUCAUAGUCAGAUUUCAGCCAUUAUGAUUUUUCGUACUUUCGAUUUUCAGAGUUUCCUAUGUAUAACGAGCAGGUAAUAAGAUUUUUUUAUGCAAUAUGUUGAGACUUACCUCUCACAGGGAGUCUCGUUAGUACCAAAAACCCUAGGAUUUUACAUCCCAUGGAAACCAAAGGCUUUAAUGUUCCUCAAAAUCUAAGGUUUUACAAACUAGGAUUUUUCUAUGCUACUUCCGUCAUCGCACGAUGCAAACCCCGGGCUUCUCUUAUAUGUUUUCAUGAAGAUGAAAGCCCCAAUGCCCGUGCAAUAUGAAUCAGCUGUUGAGUGUUGCAGGUUGGCCGAUCUAUCGGUCUAUACCUGUGUCAAAGCAACAACGACAUCUUUGUUUCGCUUUUAAAAUUUUGAAGCCUUGUCACCAUUGUAUUUCGUCACCUCAGUGGGUAGUUAAUCGUGUAAAAUGUAAAUAAUAUUGAUGCCUCACCUUAAGCGCUUUGAGAUUAUUGGUGCCACGAAUGCGUUGUCAUGGAGGCCGAAACCAACCAUGGCGAGUUUAACGUGGGCACGUUCCGAUUUCUAAUGGUUUAGUAUCUAAAAAGAAAGCCACAUUAGUUUGGAUUUUCUGUCAUUUUCUUAUGUUGUUCUAGAUUAUACAAUUCUCCGAUACUUAGUUUUUUUUUUUUCGGGGUUUGAUUUCGAUGUUAACUGAAUUUCCAUUCCAAGAUAUGAUGUUUUUGUGAAAGUUCCUUAUAUUUGAUCCGAUCAUUCUUUCCUCUGGAUAUUCAUGUAAUAUGAGUUUUCUCUUAUAUUUCAAGACAUCUAGCAUUUCAAUUACAUUAUGAUGAUGUUUUCUGUAUUAUUUUGAUGUUGGUUGUCAUAUUUGUUUUGUAUGUUUCUAUUUCUAUAGAAUUAGGACCACUUGAUUUGGUUUUCGAUCAACGAAUUGGAUGUUCUGCGUUUGGUUUCCAAUUAAUCAAUUGGGUAUGUUAUUUGCUGAUGAUAAUUUUGUUCAUGUUGGAGAUACUGGGGUUCCAAGUCCUUGUUUUACAAGGAGAACCUGCUUGGAGUAGCCCUUGUAUUGCUAUUACUUUAUUGGAUAUUAAUUGAAGACUUUAAUGCUAAAUUUAUCUUCCAUUUUUUUUGCUAGAAGUUGGAUGUGCUAAUAGAGGCGAUGAUGUUUUGAUUUUGUUCCAUCUUGGAGAUGUCGGGGUUCCAUGUCCAUGUUCACAAGGAGAACCUACUUGGAGUUGCCCCUGCAUUCCUAUCACAUCAAUGGAUUUUAUCUGAUACCAUAACGCAUUUUCAUGCUCAAUCAACCACCUAGUUUAUGCUGUUUUAAUUCAUGUUAUUUCACAUUGCAUUAGAUUAAGUAAAUUCUUUGAAUGUGGUGCUUUGAUUAUUAAAAGAUUGCCAAGUUUAAUAACGAAUUGUUUGAACUUUGAAGUAUGAAUGACUUGUGAUUCUGUUAUUUUUUUUUGGAAAAUUCCAUGUUCUACGAACAUGGUGCUUUGAUUUUUACAAGAUUUCCAAGUUUAAUAGUUAAUUUGUUUGAAGUUUGAAAUAUGAGUGACAUGUGAUUCUGUCGUAUUAUUAUGAAAAAUUCAGCAAGGCCGGUGACGACAAUAUGCGUGUCGGAGGGCAAGGGUUCCAAGUCCUUGAAUACAAGGAGAACCUACUUGGAGUUGCUCUUGCAUUACUGUGACAUUACCGCCGGAUAGUAACUGAGGCCUUGAUGUCUCAUGCCAACUUCUGUUUGCUAAACUUUUGUCAUAGAAUUAACAUUGGAAACUGUAUUCCUUGUAUUGUUUUGCCAUACUGACUAGCAUUUUGAAAUUGUAAAAACAUGUCAAUGCUUAUGUCAAUUUGUGAGGUGUUUUGUUUGGAUUUUUCUUGUGGCCUAGUUAUUAAAUUGCUUUUUGGGGAUUUUUGUGUCUUGGCUUUCUUUUGUGGUUUUAAAGUUCCUUAUUUUUUUUUGUUUUUUUUAAUUUAUGGUUUUAUAGUUCCAUGUUGAUUUUUUUAAAAAAUUGAUGGCAAUGAUUUGAAUUUAUCCGCGCUUCUGAGUUUAUGAACCAUGAAGCAAGAAAGUCAAUGUAAUAUGAGCUACUAAUUAAGGAUUCUCUUUUGUUACGUAAUUCUUUGGAUUCUUAUUAUCAUUUUUUCAAUGGUCUUCAAAGUGUCAUAAAAUUGAAUAGUUUUUUAUGCACAUUUUUUAAUUAUCUUUCAUGUUCCAAAAGUUGAUAUUUUUAUAUUUUCCAGUUAUGUUCUUAAUGGGGUUGAAAGCACCAUGUUUGUUGUUUGGUUUUUCCUUUAUAUUAGUUUCUUGGACUACUGAGACAGAGUCGGCUGUGAGGACCAUCAUUCAGCUUAAUGCCAGUUCUGCUUCAGAAAAUUCUUGAUUGAUAAGCUGAUUAAUAUUUGAGCCUUUUAUUCUCUUGUCCUCUAUAUAUGUGCACUGUUUGUGUUUCGUUAUUCUCUUUUGCUUGUAGCUGUAUCGUAGGAUGAACUUAUGCCAUGGAGAUCCUUAAGAGGUUGAUAAAUAUUAGUGUAGUUUUUAUUGGUCAUGUGGGGAAACUUCUUUAUAAUUAAUAACAUGAGGGCUUUUGCAAAAAAAUUAUGAUUUAUUCUUGUGAUUGUAAGAUAAAUAUCUUUCCCCCUGUAAAUGGUUAAUAGCAAUCUAUCUUUGGGUAUUGGGUGUGUCAUUUCAUUCUAGGGACAUAACUGAAUCUUCCAUGUUUGCAGGUUAGAAUAUAAACCAAGCAGGGCUAGGGUUUUUCCCAUCUAUAAAAGUGGAAACGGGCUGAAGCUUGUCGCUAUCCUUUUUUCUCUCAUUUUAUUCUUGGGUUUCUUAUCUAUGGCUGCAGUUUCUAAGUUUCUCAUAUGUCGCUGCAGUUUUUGUUCGUCUCUGCCUUCAUGUUUUCUAUCGUUUCUGAAAGCCCUGGCCUUCAUACACGGAUUUCGGCCAUUACGAUUUCUCGUACUUCCGAUUUUCAGCGUUUUCUAUGUAAAAUGAGUAGGUAAUAAGAUUUUUUAAUGCAAUGUGUUCAGGCUUACCUCUCACAGGGAGCCUGGUUAGCACCAAAAACCCCUCGGAUUUUACAUCCCAUGGAUUUCAAAGGCCUUAAUGUUCCUCAAAAUCUAAGGUUUUGUAACCCAAGAUUUUUCUCUGCUACUUCUGUCAUCGCACGAUGCAAACCCCGGGCUUCUCUUGUAUGUUUUCAUGAAGAUGAAAGGCCCAAUGCCCGUGCAAUAUGAAUCAGCUGUUGAGUGUUGCAGAUUGGCCGAUCUCUCGGUCUAUAGCUGUGUCAAAGCAACAACAACAUCUUUGUUUAGCUAUUAAAAUUUUGAAGCCUUGUGACCGUUGUAUUUCGUCACCUCAGUGGGCAGUUAAUCAUGUAAAAUGUAAAUAAUAUUGAUGCCUCACCUUAAGCUUGUGGAGAUUUUUGGUGCCACAAAUGCGCAGUCAUGGAGGCAGAAACCAACCAUGGUGAGUUUAACGUGGGCACAUUCUGAUUUCUAAUGGUUUAGUGUCUAAAAUACUUCUCCAUAUUGGUUUGGAUUUUCUUUCAUUUUCUUUAAUUCUCUGUCAUUUUCUUAUGUUGUUCUAGAUUGUAGUAUUUUCCUAUUUUUAGUUUAUUUUUUCGGGGUUCUAUUUCGAUGUUUAUUGGAUUGCCAUUCCAAGAUAUGAUGUUUUUGUGAAUGUUCCUUAUAUUUGUUUCGAUCAUCUCACUCCUCCGGAUAUUCAUGUAGUAUGAGUUUUCUCUUAUAUUUCAAGACUUAUAGUGUUUCAAUUGCAUGAUGAUGAUGUUUUAUGUAUUAUUUUGAUAUUUGAUGUCGUAUUUAUUUGUAUCUAUUUCUAUUGAAUUAGGACCACUUGAUUGGGUUUGCGAUUAUUGAAUUCGAUGUACUUUGUUUGGUUUGCAAUUAAUCAAUUGGGUAUGUUAUUUGCUGAUGAUGAUUUUGUCCAUGUUGGAGAUACUGGGGUUCUAAGUCCUUGUUUUACAAUGAGAAUCUACUUGGCGUAGCCCUUGUAUUGCUAUGACUUUAUUGGAUAUUAAAUGAUGGCUUUAAUACUAAAUUUUUGUUUUUUUUGUUUUUUUUCUUAAAGUUGGAUGUGCUAAAAAGGCGAUGAUGUUUUGAUUUUGUUCCAUCUUGGAGAUGCAGGGGUUUCAAGGCCUUGUUCACAAGGAGACCUACUUGGAGUUGCCCCUGCCAUCCUAUGACAUCUGUGGAUUUUAUCUGAUGCCAUGGCGCAUUUUCAUACUCGAUCAGUCACCAAGUGUUUGCUGUAUUAAUUCUUGCAUUAUGCUGUAUUAAUUCUUGCAUUAUCACAUUGUAUUAGGUGCAGUAAAUUCUUUGAAAAUGGUGCUUUGAUUUUUACAAGAUUGGCAAGUUUAAUAGCGAAUUGUUUGAACUUUGAAGUAUGAUUGACUUGUGAUUCAGUCAUUUUUGUUUGGAAAAUUCCGUGUUCUACGAAAAUGAUGCUUUGAUUUUUACAUGAUUUCCAAGUUUAAUAGCAAAUUGUUUGAAGUUUGAAGUAUGAGUGACUUGUGGUUGUUUCGUAUUAUUAUGAAUAAUUCAGUGAGGCUGGUGACGAUAAUAUGCGUGUUGGAGGGCAAGGGUUCCAAUUCCUUGAAUGCAAGGAGAACCUACUUGGAGUUGCUCUUAUACUGUGACAUUACCGCUGGAUCGUAACUGAGGUCUUGAUGUCUCUUGCCAACAUCUGUUUGCUAAAUUUGUCAUAUAAUUGACAUUGGAAACUAUAUUCCAUGUAUUGUUUUUCCAUACUGACUAGCAUUUUGAAAUUGUAAAAACAUGUCAUUGUUUAUGUCAUUUUCUUAGGCGUUUUGUUUGAAAUUUUCCAUUGGCCUAGUUAUUAAAUUGCUUUUUGCGGAUUUUUGGUUUCGUCUUUUUUUUUGUGGUUUUAAUUUUCCUUAUUUUGAUUUUUUUAUUCUUUUAUUUUAUAUUUUAUAUUUUUAAUUUCUUGUUUUACAUUUCCAUGUUGAUUUUUAUGUAAAUUGAUGGCGAUGAUUUGAAUUUAUCUGCGCUUCUGAGUUUAUGAACCUUGAAGAAAAAAAGUCAAUGGUUGAAUAUCUUACUAUGAGCCACUAAUUAAGUUUCUCUUUCGUUACUUAAUUCUUUGGAUUCUUAUUAUCGUUUUGUCAAUGGUCUUCAAAGUGUCAUAAAAUUGAAUAGUUUUUUAUGCACUUUUUUAAUUUAAUGUUUCCUCAGCAUUUUAAUUAUCUUUUUUGUACCAAAAGAUGGUGAUUUUAUAUUUUUCAGUUAUGAGCUUAAUGUCGUUGAAUGCUCCACGUCUGUUGUUUCGUUUUUCCUUUAUAUUAGUUUCUUGUACUACUGAGACAGGGUCGGUUGUGAGGACCAUCAUUAACCUCAAUGCUAGUUCUUCUUCAGAAUAUUCUUGAUUGAUAAGCUGAUUAAUAGCUGAGCCUUUUAUUCUCUUGUCCUCUAUAUAUGUGCACUGUUAGUGUUUCGUUAUUCUGUUUUGCUUGUAGCUGUAUAGUAGGAUGAAGUAGUGCCAUGGAGAUCCUUGGAGGUUGAUAAAUAUUAGUUUGGUUUUUAUUUGGUCAUGUGGGGAAACUUCUUUAUAAUUAAUAAGAUGAGGGCUUUUGCAAAAGAAAUAUGAUUUAUUCUUGUGAUUGUAAGAUAAACAUCUUUCCACCUGUAAAUGGUUAAUAGCAAUCUAUCUUUGGGUAUUGGGUGUGCCAUGUGAUUCUAGGGACAUAACUGAAUCUUUCAUGUCUGCAGGUUAGAAUAUGAACCAAGCAAGGGUAGGGUUUUUCCCAUCUAUAAAAGUGGAAACGGGCUGAAGCUUGUCGCUAUCUUUUUUCUUUCCUUCUAUUGCUGCAGUUUUUAAGUUUCUCAUAUGUCGCUGCAGGUUUUGUUCUUCUCUGCCUUCAUGUUUUCUCGUAGUUUCAAUUUUCAGAGUUUCCUAUGUAAAACGAGCAGGUAAUAAGAUUUUUGUAUGCUACAUGUUCUGGCUUACCUCUCACAGGGGGUCUCGUUAGUACCCAAAACCCUAGGAUUUUACGUCUCAUGGAUGUCAAAGGCCUUAAUGUUCCCCAAAUUCUAAGGUUUUAUAACCUAGGAUUUUUCUCUGCUACUUCAAUUAUCGCACGAUGCAAACCCGGGCUUCUCUUAUAUGUUUUCAUGAAGAUGAAAGCCACAUUGCCCGUGCAAUAUUAAUCCAUUGUUGAGUGUUGCAGGUUGGCCGAUCUCUCGGUCUAUACUUGUGUCAAAGCUACAGCAACAUCUUUGUUUAGCUAUUAAAAUUUUGAAGCCUUGAUGCCAUUGUAUGUCGUCACCUCAGUGGGCAGUUAAUCAUGUAAAAUGUUAAUAAUAUUGAUGCCUCACCUUAAGCUUGUGGAGAUUUUUGGUGCCACAAAUGCGCAGUCAUGGAGGCAGAAACCACCCAUGGCGAGUUUAACGUGGGCGCAUUCCGAUUUCUAUUGGUUUAGUGUCUUUUAUACUUUGUCACACUGGUUGGGAUUUUCUAUCAUUUUCUUUAAUUUUCUGUUAUUUCUUAUUGUUUUCUAGAUUAUACCAUUCUCCAAUAAUUAGUUUUUGUUUUUUCGGGGUUUAAUUUCGCUAUUUACUGGAUUUCCUUUCCAAGAUAUGAUAUUUUUGUGAAAGUUCCUUAUAUUUGAUCCAAUCAUUCAUUCCCUUGGAUAUUCAUGUAAUAUGAGUUUUCUCUUUUUCUUCAAGACAUCUAGCGUUUCAAUUACAUGAUGAUGAUGUUUUCUAUAUUAUUUUGAUGUUGGAUGUCAUAUUUGUUUGUAUGUUCCGAUUGCUAUAGAAUUAGGACUACUUGAUUUGGUUUUCGAUCAAUGAAUUGGAUGUUCUUCGUUUGGUUUCCAAUUAAUCAAUUGGAUAUAUUAUUUGCUGAUGAUGAUUUUGUCCAUGUUAGAGACACCGGGUUCCAAGUCCUUGUUUUUCGAGAACCUACUUGGAGUAGCCCUUGUAUUGCUAUGACUUUAUUUGAUAUUAACUGAUGACUUUAAUGGCUAAUUUAUC
rnacentral:lncRNA from 1 species